AUAGAGAGAUGAACCUCUCUGUUCCCCAACCCCUCUAUCAGAUCAAGAUUUAAAAAACUUGGCGCUGCCCCCGCCAAGUUUUU
rnacentral:sRNA from 2 species